rnacentral:ncRNA from 1 species
UGAUCUCAGAUCAGGUGAGGUUACCCGCCGAAUUUAAGCAUAUAAUUCAGCGGAGGAAAAGAAAUCAAAUGAGAUUCCCUGAGUAACGGCGAGUGAAAAGGGAUGAGUCCGGCGCAAAGGUUUUCCAUUGAAAGGUGGAAAGCGGUGCUGCGUAAUGGCUAGAGUCACGAUUAUUUCAACUAAAUCUGCAAGUCCCUCUGACAAGGGCCCUCUUCCCAGAGACGGUUCUAGGCCGGUGGCAGAUCUUGGUUAAUGGAAUAUCGAUUACUGGCUUUAGUCGCGGAUAGAGUCAGAUUGCUUGAGAGUGCAAUCCAAAUUAGGAGGUAAACUCCUCCUAAGACUAAAUACGAUGGUAAUAUCGAUAGCAAACAAGUACCGUGAGGGAAAGUUGCAAAGUACUUUGAAGAGAGAGUUCAAAAGGACGUGAAACCGCUUGUAGAGAAACGGAUAGAACCACGAAGUGUAGCUGAGAGGAGAACUCAGCUCCUCUUGUGUAUUGUUGCCUUUUUCUAUUCAGUGCUAAGAAUGCUUUACAGCGUUCCAAGAUCAGUAGGUUAAGGGGUAACUUUUAGCCUGCCCUUGGAUCUUGGUAUUGAUAGGAGGAGUGCAAUAUGUGCAUGAGGAGUGCAUUUUCUCAACUCUCGUGCUCAAACCACGACCAAUGUGAAGGAGAGUGCAAAACUCUUGUUCAAGUGAUAACAGCAAGGUGUACUAAACACACACCUAAUCAGCAUUUAGUUUUCACAGCUACUAAUAUUCCUUGCGUUGUUAGACUUAGCCUGUGAGCUAGUGUUGGCAACUGUUACCACAGUCACAUUGGAGAUGAAUCUCUGCUUAUGCAGGGUCAACAAUGCUUGUCAUCUGCUCUGACGAAUCCGACUAGUCUUUCGUUGAUGAUGUCUGUUUCUUCACCUGGUGUUGAAACAACUCAUGGAUUGGCUGGCUUUUGGUGGUUUGUUGGUAAAAGUGGCAAGCUUACGUUAACCUAGUGAUUCUGUGGUCAGUAGAUCGGUACUCUAUCCGACCCGUCUUGAAACACGGACCAAGGAGUCUAACAUGUAUGCAAGCUGAUCAGUCUUGUUUAGGCUUGAAAGGCGAAUUGAAAGAAAUUGAUAUGAUGUAUGCUUGUAAGAGUAUACCGCAAUAUCAGCCCGUGAUAUAUCCACUUUACCGAGAUUUUCGCGGAGCACUAGUAUAUAUGUUAGUACCCGAAAGAUGGUGAACUAAGCCCGGACAAGAUGAAGCCAGAGGAAACUCUGGUGGAGGUCUGUAGCGAUUCUGACGUGCAAAUCGAUCGUCAGAUCCGGGUUUAGGGGCGAAAGACUAAUCGAACCGUCUAGUAGCUGGUUUCUUCCGAAGUUUCCCUCAGGAUAGCUGGCACCAAUGGAAGUACCAGUAGCAUCCGGUAGAGCGAAUGAUUAGAGGUCUUGGGGCCGAAAUGGCCUCAACCUAUUCUCAAACUCCUAAUGGGUGCGAAGUUCAACUUGUUAAACUUUUAAAGCUGAACAUACUUUGUAUGAUGGUGCCCAGUGGGCCAUUUUUGGUAAGCAGAACUGGCGAUGCGGGAUGAACCGGAAGCCGGGUU